AUUGAACGCUGGCGGCAUGCUUUACACAUGCAAGUCGGACGGCAGCGCGGGCUUCGGCCUGGCGGCGAGUGGCGAACGGGUGAGUAAUGCAUCGGAACGUGCCCAGUAGUGGGGGAUAGCCCGGCGAAAGCCGGAUUAAUACCGCAUACGACCUGAGGGUGAAAGCGGGGGACCGAAAGGCCUCGCGCUAUUGGAGCGGCCGAUGUCGGAUUAGCUAGUUGGUGGGGUAAAGGCUUACCAAGGCGACGAUCCGUAGCUGGUCUGAGAGGACGACCAGCCACACUGGGACUGAGACACGGCCCAGACUCCUAAGGGAGGCAGCAGUGGGGAAUUUUGGACAAUGGGGGCAACCCUGAUCCAGCCAUGCCGCGUGCGGGAAGAAGGCCUUCGGGUUGUAAACCGCUUUUGUUCGGGAAGAAAUCCUCUGGGCUAAUACCCCGGGGGGAUGACGGUACCGGAAGAAUAAGCACCGGCUAACUACGUG
rnacentral:rRNA from 1 species